AACCACGUUGCUAGAUUCAGAGCGAAGAACAAGAUGGAAGCUGAGAGGAAAGCAAGAAACAUGAGGCAGAGUCUGGGGAGGCCUGAGCCUUGAGGAAGAAGAACGCUGACUAUGGCUGCAUGGACAUGGCCAAAAUACAUCAGGGGACAGAAGGCCAGAGAACGGACCAGGCAUUGUUUGAUUUACAGCCCACACAAACCCAGAGACCAAGGAAGGAGGAAACCAGAGAUGUGGGCUACUGAGACAGAGAGAGGAAGCUACGGGGGAUCAGGGGCAGUGAAACACUGGGAG